rnacentral:rRNA from 1 species
UACGUAGGGGCCGAGCGUUGUCCGGAGUUAUUGGGCGUAAAGCGCGCGCAGGCGGCCUCGCGCGCCCGACGUGAAAGCCCCCGGCUUAACCGGGGAGGGUCGUUGGGGACGGCGGGGCUUGAGGGCGGGAGAGGUCGGUGGAAUUCCCGGUGUAGUGGUGAAAUGCGUAGAGAUCGGGAGGAACACCUGUGGCGAAGGCGGCGAUCCUGGACCAACACUGACACUGAGGAGCGAAAGCCAGGGGAGCAAACGGGAUUAGAA